UCCUACGGGACGCAGCAGUGGGGAAUAUUGCGCAAUGGGGGAAACCCUGACGCAGCAACGCCGCGUGCGGGAUGACGGCCUUCGGGUUGUAAACCGCUUUCAGCAGGGAAGAACAUCGACGGUACCUGCAGAAGAAGCCCCGGCUAACUACGUGCCAGCAGCCGCGGUAAUACGUAGGGGGCGAGCGUUAUCCGGAUUCAUUGGGCGUAAAGCGCGCGUAGGCGGGUGCCUAAGCGUGACCUCUAACCUCGGGGCUCAACCCCGCGCCGGGUCCCGAACUGGGCGUCCCGCGCGCGGUAGGGGAG
rnacentral:rRNA from 1 species